UACGUAGGGGGCUAGCGUUGUCCGGAUUUAUUGGGCGUAAAGAGCUUGUAGGCGGUUUGUCGCGUCUGCUGUGAAAUUUCGGGGCUCAACCCCGAACUUGCAGUGGGUACGGGCAGACUAGAGUGCGGUAGGGGAGACUGGAAUUCCUGGUGUAGCGGUGGAAUGCGCAGAUAUCAGGAGGAACACCGGUGGCGAAGGCGGGUCUCUGGGCCGUAACUGACGCUGAGGAGCGAAAGCAUGGGGAGCGAACAGG
rnacentral:rRNA from 1 species